rnacentral:rRNA from 1 species
ACGGGCGGCACUAGCGCGGUGGUCCCACCUGACCCCAUGCCGAACUCAGAAGUGAAACGCCGUAGCGCCGAUGGUAGUGUGGGGUCUCCCCAUGUGAGAGUAGGGAACUGCCAGGC